rnacentral:rRNA from 1 species
UAUAAUGGGUCAGCGACUUAUAUUCUGUAGCAAGGUUAACCGCAUAGGGGAGCCGAAGGGAAACCGAGUCUUAACCGGGCGUUAAGUUGCAGGGUAUAGACCCGAAACCCGGUGAUCUAGCCAUGGGCAGGUUGAAGGUUGGGUAACACUAACUGGAGGACCGAACCGACUAAUGUUGAAAAAUUAGCGGAUGACCUGUGGCUGGGGGUGAAAGGCCAAUCAAACCGGGAGAUAGCUGGUUCUCCCCGAAAGCUAUUUAGGUAGCGCCUCGUGAAUUCAUCUCCGGGGGUAGAGCACUGUUUCGGCUAGGGGGCCAUCCCGGCUUACCAACCCGAUGCAAACUGCGAAUACCGGAGAAUGUUAUCACGGGAGACACACGGCGGGUGCUAACGUCCGUCGUGAAGAGGGAAACAACCCAGACCGCCAGCUAAGGUCCCAAAGUCAUGGUUAAGUGGGAAACGAUGUGGGAAGGCCCAGACAGCCAGGAUGUUGGCUUAGAAGCAGCCAUCAUUUAAAGAAAGCGUAAUAGCUCACUGGUCGAGUCGGCCUGCGCGGAAGAUGUAACGGGGCUAAACCAUGCACCGAAGCUGCGGCAGCGACACUUUAGUGUUGUUGGGUAGGGGAGCGUUCUGUAAGCCGUUGAAGGUGUCCUGUGAGGGGUGCUGGAGGUAUCAGAAGUGCGAAUGCUGACAUAAGUAACGAUAAAGCGGGUGAAAAGCCCGCUCGCCGGAAGACCAAGGGUUCCUGUCCAACGUUAAUCGGGGCAGGGUGAGUCGACCCCUAAGGCGAGGCCGAAAGGCGUAGUCGAUGGGAAACGGGUUAAUAUUCCCGUACUUGGUGUUACUGCGAAGGGGGGACGGAGAAGGCUAUGUUGGCCGGGCGACGGUAGUCCCGGUUUAAGCGUGUAGGUGUGUGUUCCAGGCAAAUCCGGUUCACUUUAACACUGAGGCGUGAUGACGAGGCACCACGGUGCUGAAGCAACAAAUGCCCUGCUUCCAGGAAAAGCCUCUAAGCAUCAGGUAACAUCAAAUCGUACCCCAAACCGACACAGGUGGUCAGGUAGAGAAUACCAAGGCGCUUGAGAGAACUCGGGUGAAGGAACUAGGCAAAAUGGUGCCGUAACUUCGGGAGAAGGCACGCUGACACGUAGGUGAAGUGAUUUACUCAUGGAGCUGAAGUCAGUCGAAGAUACCAGCUGGCUGCAACUGUUUAUUAAAAACACAGCACUGUGCAAACACGAAAGUGGACGUAUACGGUGUGACGCCUGCCCGGUGCCGGAAGGUUAAUUGAUGGGGUCAGCGCAAGCGAAGCUCCUGAUCGAAGCCCCGGUAAACGGCGGCCGUAACUAUAACGGUCCUAAGGUAGCGAAAUUCCUUGUCGGGUAAGUUCCGACCUGCACGAAUGGCGUAAUGAUGGCCAGGCUGUCUCCACCCGAGACUCAGUGAAAUUGAACUCGCUGUGAAGAUGCAGUGUACCCGCGGCAAGACGGAAAGACCCCGUGAACCUUUACUAUAGCUUGACACUGAACAUUGAGCCUUGAUGUGUAGGAUAGGUGGGAGGCUUUGAAGCGUGGACGCCAGUCUGCGUGGAGCCGACCUUGAAAUACCACCCUUUAAUGUUUGAUGUUCUAACGUGGACCCGUAAUCCGGGUUGCGGACAGUGUCUGGUGGGUAGUUUGACUGGGGCGGUCUCCUCCUAAAGAGUAACGGAGGAGCACGAAGGUUGGCUAAUCCUGGUCGGACAUCAGGAGGUUAGUGCAAUGGCAUAAGCCAGCUUGACUGCGAGCGUGACGGCGCGAGCAGGUGCGAAAGCAGGUCAUAGUGAUCCGGUGGUUCUGAAUGGAAGGGCCAUCGCUCAACGGAUAAAAGGUACUCCGGGGAUAACAGGCUGAUACCGCCCAAGAGUUCAUAUCGACGGCGGUGUUUGGCACCUCGAUGUCGGCUCAUCACAUCCUGGGGCUGAAGUAGGUCCCAAGGGUAUGGCUGUUCGCCAUUUAAAGUGGUACGCGAGCUGGGUUUAGAACGUCGUGAGACAGUUCGGUCCCUAUCUGCCGUGGGCGCUGGAAGACUGAGGGGGGCUGCUCCUAGUACGAGAGGACCGGAGUGGACGCAUCACUGGUGUUCGGGUUGUCAUGCCAAUGGCACUGCCCGGUAGCUAAAUGCGGAAAAGAUAAGUGCUGAAAGCAUCUAAGCACGAAACUUGCCCCGAGAUGAGUCUUCCCUGAGACUUUGAGUCUCCUGAAGGAACGUUAAAGACGAUGACGUUGAUAGGCCGGGUGUGUAAGCGCAGCGAUGCGUUGAGCUAACCGGUACUAAUGAACCGUGAGGCUUAACCUUACAACGCCGAAGGUGUUU